GACGAACGCUGGCGGCAUGCCUAAUACAUGCAAGUCGAGCGAACGGAUGGAGUGCUUGCACUUCUGACGUUAGCGGCGAACGGGUGAGUAACACGUAAGGAAUCUACCUAUAAGCGGGGGAUAACAUUCGGAAACGGGUGGUAAUACCGCAUAAUAUCUUCUUCCGCAGGGAAGAAGAUUGAAAGACGGCUCUGCUGUCACUUAUAGAUGACCUUGCGGUGCAUAGUUAGUUGGUGGGGUAAUGGCCUACCAGGACGAUGAUGCAUAGCCGACCUGAGAGGGUGAUCGGCCACAUUGGAACUGAGACACGGCCCAAACUCCUACGGGAGGCAGCAGUAGGGAAUCUUCCGCAAUGGGCGAAAGCCUGACGGAGCAAUGCCGCGUGAGUGAAGAGGGCCUUCGGGUCGUAAAACUCUGUUAUAAGAGAAGAACAAAUUGUAGAGUAACUGCUACAGUCUUGACGGUAUCUUAUCAGAAAGCCACGGCUAACUACGUGCCAGCCGCCGCCGUAA
rnacentral:rRNA from 1 species